AAGCUUUCUGAGCUGAGCAAAACUGCUGGUCAUUCUCUGGGCAUGGAGAAAUGAAGGGCUUUGUGCUACACUGGAGUAACCCCCAAAGUGGAAGGGGAAUGCCCAAGAUAAUGAACAGAAGCUUGACCAGGCUCUGAACGCAUUUCACACUCACCUACCUGAAACAAUCCGUCUCCUCCAUGUCUCCGAAGAUUGUUACAAGCUCUGUUGGUUGCUUCUGGUGACUUUGCUGCUGUGAUUCUGCUGUAUUUCUUCAGAUCCUAUGUCUCCAAGCUACGCUGUACAGAGGAGUGCUGCCAUUUGCUUCAACGGAAGGGGCCUCCCUCAUGUUUUUAAUUACAUCCAAGGAAGAUUUUCCCCCCGAGAGAUCUUCAAAUAUUCUUCAGUCUUUCUGUGUAACAGACGGCUACAUCUGGCUUCAGCUAGCAGGCAGCACUGUCAUCUUUCAGCUAGUGGGAGUGUUUGUGGAGCUAAAUGAAACCCCACAGUUAGCACCCACCAUUUUUGUAUUGAAGUACUCAGUGGAGUUUUGCCUGGUUAUGCCACAACUGGAUUUGGCCUGAUGUGUCCUAAUGAAAUCUGAAGCACAGAUGGGCAAACCAGUUCAGAUAAAAUAAGAACUGACUUGAGCCUUUGACCCAAAUUAGGACAGAAUUGCAAUCAAACUUCUAUUUGAGCUCUGAAAAUGUUUUGUUGUUGGGUUUUUAACUUUAAUAUUUGUGCAUCUCUGCAUUGCCUGGUAUUGGUAGAAAUGUACAGGAUGAAAUACUUAUG